GGUCCACAACACUUAUUCCCGGAUAGACGGGUUCUACAUAAAGGGCACAUUCCUCAACCAACUAACAGCAUGCUCGAUAGGCAACAUCACAUGGUCUGACCACGCCCCAAUUACUUUAGAACUACAAGAUGCAUAUGACUAUAAACACAGGAGUCCCUGGAGACUGAACGAAACCCUUUUGCAUGACUCCCAAUUCUGUGAAAACCUCACCACUGACAUGCACAGAUACUUUACCAAUAACCAAACACCCGGAAUAACACCGGAUACCCUAUGGCAGGCACACAAGCAGGUUAUCAGGGGAUCCCUUAUAGGCAGAGCGAGCGCACUGAAACGUGAGUCC